CCCUCUUUUUCUUCCUCACUCAUUUUCUCUCUUCCUCUCUGUCCCUCUCUCCCUCAUGCAUUCUCACUCUUUUUCCUUCCAUCCCUAAUUCACUCCCUCACUCCCCUCCCCCUCUGUCCUUCUCUCUUUUCAUCUGUCUCUGUCACUGUCUGUCUCAUUCAGCUUUGCACCCAUUCAAAUUCUAAAUUUGUUUGCACAAAAAAUCUGUUUUUUUAUUCCCUAUCACUUCCUUAGUUUGCCUUUCUCAGUUAAUAUCUGCCUCUCUCAUUUUGUCUCGCUCUUCUGUCUCACACCUCCUCUCUCUUUUUAUCUGGUUUGCUCUAUCCCUCGCUCACCUCCCCUCCGCUCCAUUACCUCAUUCCUUCUACUCUCUAUGUCAGUUUUCAUUCCAUCCCUCUCCUCUAUUGUGCUUUCCCUCACUCUCUCCUCUCUCCAGCUUCCUUUCUCCUUCUUAUUUGCCCCCCCCCUCUCUCCAGCUUCCUUUCUCUCUCUUAUCAGCCCCCCCCUCUCUCUCCAGCUUCCUUUCUCUCUCUUAUCUGCACCCCCUCUCUCUCCAGCUUCCUUUCUCCCUCUUAUUUGCCCCUCCCUCUCUCUCUCUCUCUCUCUCUCUUUCUCUUUCUCUCUCCAGCUUCCUUUCUCUCUCUUAUCAGCCCCCCCCUCUCUCUCCAGCUUCCUUUCUCCCUCUUAUUUGCCCCUCCCUCUCUCUCUCUCUCUCUCUCUCUCUCUCUCUCUCUCUCUUUCUCUUUCUCUUUCUCUCUCUCUCUCUCUCAAGCUUCCUGUCUCUCUCUUAUCUACCCUCCCUGGAGACAGAGGGUAAAAAUGGCCCAGUGACUAACUGUAAUCAUAACCAGCAGUGCCAUCGAGGAGAACUACAAAGGUAACAUGAGGACAUGAUGAGAACAGACCUUCAAGCUUUUCUUCUGACAGCUGACGACUGGAGGGGACAGAUCUGGCUCAGGUAUGGCUCAGAUCUGGCUCAGAUCUGGCUCAGGUAUGGCUCAGAUGUGGCUCAGAUCUGGCUCAGGUAUGGCUCAGAUAUGGCUCAGAUGUGGCUCAGAUAUGGCUCAGAUGUGGC
ensembl:lncRNA